rnacentral:rRNA from 1 species
AUGGACGGAUCCACCGUCAACCGACUCGUCAUCCUGUUCCUCCUCGUACUUGUCCUCGCCACCAGCAACAGCGAGCAUGGACACGCAGGAGCCGUUGAUGCGGGCAACGUCGUCGUCGUCCGGGUCCGGCUAAUCGGCCGCGGCCCGGAUGACAAGACCACCGUCGCCGUGCAGAGACACGACCUCUCCUUCGCCGGCUUCACCGAUGGCAGCGGCCAUUGGCACGCCUUUCCUGGCCUUGAGCAUCUCUUCCCCACGUCCACGACGCUCCCAUUCGGCAGCAGCUACAGCGACCUCAUCGGCGGCCUUGCGAACCUGCCGGGCGUGCCGCUGGGGCGGGAGGCCAUGCUGGAGGCCAUCCGCGUGCUCGCCGCCUACCGCCCCGGGGCCGACGUGCAGCCGGUCAAGCGGGCGCUGGCGGCGAUGAAGGUUGUGAUGUGCGAGGCCCAGCGGGUGAGGCCCAUCAAAGAGACCCUCAACGACGGAUGGGACACCGGUGCCCGCGUCGCCCCCGAGCACCUGCCCUACAUCGAGCACUGGGACACCAUGUCCUAUGAGAUCCUCCGCUCCAACCUUAUGGGCAAGUGGGACGGGCCCUUCACCAAGAUACUGGAGACGGAAGCCAACAUCCGCAGCAAGGAGGAGGCGCUCGCCGUCGUCGGGGUGCUCCGGAGCGUCGACUUUGAGCAAGUGAUUGAGGCUCACGCUUCCCCGAUCUAA